rnacentral:rRNA from 1 species
CCCAAACGUUAUUCGGAAUUACUGGGCUUAAAGAGUUCGUAGGCGGCGCAGCAAGUAGGGUGUGAAAGCCCUCGGCUUAACCGAGGAAUUGCGCCCUAAACUACUGUGCUUGAGGAACCUAGAGGUGAGCAGAACAGAUGGUGGAGCGGUGAAAUGCGUUGAUAUCAUCUGGAAUACCGGAGGCGAAGGCGGCUCACUGGGGGUUUUCUGACGCUGAGGAACGAAAGCCAGGGUAGCGAACGGG